CUUCCGCCCGCCAUUUUAGGCUGGCUCGGCGUCGGCGCCAUUAAGACGAGCGGGCGGAGGGCUCGGGCCGGGGCCGCCAGCGGGGCCGGCGCCGCGGCGGGGAAGCGGAGCCGGGGGCGGCGGCGGCGCCAUGUCGGAGCAGCAGUUCGCCGUGGACGCGGCCGGCGGCGGGGGCGGCCCGGCGGAGCAGCCGGAACAGCCUGAGGGGCUGCCGGGGGCCGGCGCGGGGGGCGCCGACGGGGCUGGCGGCGGCGGCGGCGGAGGGGGCGAGUCGGAGGGAGCCAAGAUCGACGCCAGCAAGAACGAGGAGGACGAGGGGAAAAUGUUCAUUGGCGGCCUUAGCUGGGACACUACAAAGAAAGACCUGAAGGACUAUUUCUCUAAAUUUGGCGAAGUUGUAGACUGCACUCUGAAGUUAGACCCCAUCACUGGGCGAUCGAGAGGCUUCGGCUUUGUACUCUUUAAAGAAUCGGAGAGCGUAGAUAAGGUCAUGGACCAGAAAGAACACAAGCUGAAUGGGAAGGUCAUUGAUCCUAAAAGAGCGAAAGCCAUGAAAACAAAAGAACCCGUCAAAAAGAUUUUUGUUGGGGGCUUAUCUCCAGACACACCUGAAGAGAAAAUAAGGGAAUACUUUGGAGGUUUUGGUGAGGUUGAGUCUAUAGAGCUCCCCAUGGACAACAAAACUAACAAGAGGCGUGGAUUUUGCUUCAUUACUUUCAAGGAGGAGGAACCAGUGAAGAAAAUAAUGGAAAAGAAAUACCACAACGUUGGGCUUAGUAAAUGUGAAAUAAAAGUAGCCAUGUCAAAGGAACAGUACCAGCAGCAGCAGCAGUGGGGGAGCAGAGGAGGAUUUGUCGGAAGAGCUCGAGGAAGAGGCGGCGGUAAGUUUGCACUGGCGUGGUAUAAGACGUCGAGGGGCUUGCUUGAGCGAAAGCAAGUCUCCUGCAGUUCUGAGUUCUGGCACGCUGUGUUGCAGGCCCCAGUCAAAACUGGAACCAGGGAUACAGCAACUACUGGAAUCAGGGGUAUGGGAACUAUGGCUACAACAGCCAAGGGUACGGAGGUUACGGAGGAUAUGACUACACUGGUUACAACAACUACUACGGAUAUGGUGACUAUAGCAAUCAGCAGAGUGGUUAUGGGAAAGUAUCUCGGCGAGGUGGUCAUCAAAAUAGCUACAAACCAUACUAAAUUAUUCCGUUCGCAACUUACCCUGAACAGCGGGAACUUCAUUGCAGGCCCUGUGUCGCGCUGACUUCACGAUUCUCACAGGCCCGCUCAAUGCGGACAGGGUACGAGAUGCUCACGCUCUCGAAUGCUGCCGUUUGGUGCAGCAGCAGUAUUUUCUCAUGGGAAGAGUCAUUUGGGGCGGCACAUGCUGCCUGCUAAUAGCAGUUCAGACUAAUUUUUGUAUCAAGUCCAUGAUGGGAAGUAAGCCGUGGGGUCCCCCUGAAGUUUAAUUGAGUGCUCGUUAAGGCAAAAUGGCUUUCACACCGUCUUAUUUCUUAACCACGAUGCUUACCGAUCGCCUUGUUUUACGCCCCUCCCUCUGUACCGUAGCGCGAGUCCUGUGUUGAAGCCCCGUGUGGCAGUGUCCUGCUGUAGUGGUGUCGGGCCGGUUUUUUAAUAAAUCUUUUUGUACGAA